rnacentral:lncRNA from 1 species
ACCUUCUGUUGCCUAUUCUAAAGAAGAGUGAUUGAGAGUUAUACGUUUACUAGUUGGUCCGUAAAGGUUUGCAAAAGAUGUGCUUAGACCAAAGGAUAAUCCUGUUUUCUGUUGUACAGGAGCAAAUGUUGCAGAAAUCUUGCCUGAAAACAGAAUCAAAAAGACAUGUCUACUAUCAUGGAUAUGAAUUCAGACACACUUAGGUUCAAAUCCAGACUCUACUGAGCGGCAGCUGUGUAGGUUUGGGCAAAUCCUCCCAAUUUCUACUCCUUACCCUCCUCCUCUUUAAAAAGGAGGCAUUUUCAUAGAAUACUGUGGUGAUUUAAAUGCUACAUUGAGUAGACAAUACUGAGUACAGUGACUAAAGCAAAGACGCAUAAUAAAUGCUAGCUAUUAAUACCAUCAAUAAUAAUAGUGUCACAUCUACUGUCAUCAGGAUAAAAAAUAUUCUGGUUAUGUUUCAAGAUGAGGGCUGUCGGGGAAUCCACUCUUAUUAAUAAAUACAUCCACAAAGCAAUAGUGGUCAAUGAGGUAAAAGAAAGAAAUUCUCAAACACAACAUCAUUCUGCUUUGAUUUCUGUGCAAUCACUAGGUCAAAGGCUGAACCACCUACUCCGAAGCAGUCUCCACAAUCACGCUUUCUACAAACCUUUUCCUGGAAAACUGAUUUGAAAAACUCACAUCUUGCAUCAGUGUAGCUGGUGCUCAAUAUGUGUCUAAGGAAUUGAAUUCUUAAAGUACCCAAUAUGGUUUGAAGAAUGAGCUGGGAAAAAAUACAAAUUAGCCUCUCUCAAGCUUUGGGUUUUCUCAUUUAGGAAUUGCUUCAUUGUCAGGAUUUAGCAAAUCAAUCAGUUCAUUUGUCUCUGAAUUAUUAAAAUAAAUGAAUGCAAGUUACUUUUCAUUUACUUAAGCUUCCCAAAGGAUGUGCAUAUAGAAACAAGAAAAUCCUGAGACAUUUGAAAAAGGCAGGACAGGGCCAAUCUGUUAGCCACUAAAAUGCAACAGAUACCAAUGGGGUUUUUGAAGCCAUCAAUUGCCCUAAAAAAAACUGUACUUCAAAAGUUUUUGAUUCCUGGGUAAUGGAAGAAAGGCUCUUUUUACCAUUAUGUCCUUUGUUUAUUUUCCUUCUCUCCUGAGAGCUUCCUCUCCACUUCUCUAAAACGUUUAGCAAUGCUCUUCUAAAGCUUGAGGCCGAAAAAACGCCUCGUUAAAACAACGUUCAGAUGUGUUUGUCUUCGGACGUUCUCUGUAGUUGGGGGUAAAUCCAUCCUAUGGAGACAGGGCUUGGGAUUCUGAACGCGUCACAGAAUCCCAGUCUUCAGACUUUUGAAGGUUCACAGGCAAAGUAAGAAACUCUUGACAGAGUUUAACAACAGCUUUGUGAAGACCUCCUUUAAACCUAAGAGAAAACUGGCCAAGUUCUCCUGCCCAGAAUCACUGAGUUCAUUAUGUUUGUCCUGCCUUCCAAGGGCAGAAGCUUCUUGUAAAGACUAACGUCUGCUUUGCAAAAUUAGCCCGAGCUGAUUAUGACAAAAUGUUUCAAAAGACAAGCUAAAACUUGCCACGCCUCUCUCAGGCAAGAAAGUGUAGAACCACAGAAUGGGCAGAAAGAUUGCUGCUGAGUGGCUCCGCUGAAAAGCCAUCCAACAGAAGAUGAUGAAUUUGCACUUCUGGUCCGAACACUGCAGACGUUGUAGAACUGAAGUAGGGGUAACAGGUUGAGUCAAUGACAUCCACAGAGCCGCAAGCCUUGGUCCCGGAGGACUUCUAGAAUAUAUUAUUAUCUCAUGGAUAUUCGUUAACCUGUCAUCCUCUCUAAUAGGCUACAGAUUUCUCAAGGGAUGAAUGUUUGUGAGUCUCCAGUAAAAAGGAUGGUGCCUGGCACAAAGUGAGCACUUGAGAAAGGUCAGCUGUUUUGUUGCUAAGACUAUUCUAGAGCCAUUUCUGACUACCAUUCAGGAACCAAAGGAAACCCAGAUAAGUCUUGAAAAUUUUGAGAUCUCCCCGUCCAACUUUUAUUUAUUUUUUUAAAAAUUGGUUUCAUGCUUACUCUGAAAAAUUUAGGAAACCCGGCAAAGUUAAACAUUAAAUUAAAAAAAAAAAAACCUUACCAAUGCACCCAACUAAUAUUUUGAAAAAGUCCUUCCAGACUUUUUCUGUUUAUACAUUAAAAGAAAAUACAGAUGGGAUCAUACUGCAUGUAGUGUUUUGCAUCUUGUUUUUUCUGUCUAAUCCAUGUAAAGUGUUUUUCUAUAUCAUGCAAUAUUCAGAUUCAUAAAGGCUGACAGUGGUGUGUUGGCACGUGCUUGAACUGGCUUUUGAGAGUCAACUGUCUGCCUUCUUCCUAGCCCUCCAUUUAGUGACAUAAUGUUGACGGCUUGAAAUCAAUUAUAGGGAGAAUAUUUACACCAUGGCAAUUGACAAAUGUUACAAAGCAGGACCUUUUUUUUUUAGAAGUGUCAGUCAUUAAAUAUUUACUAGCACUCCGCUGACUGUACAAUAUUCAUUUUAUUUACCACCAUAAUUUGUUUAACCAAGCCCUCGCUAACCGACAUCUAAUUUGUUUCUAAGUUGGCGUGUUUUGUUGAAUGCAGAAGUUAGGCAUGUAGCUAUGAUCAUUUCCUUAGGACCCACUUUCAGGAGCUGAAUUACGAGAUUAGACUCCAGAGCAUUUGAGAGGGUCUUGAUACAUGUGGCCAAACUGCCCUCUAGAGCAACUGUUCUAAUCACAUUCCCAGGAACAGAUGCAACUGAGGAUGUUCCCGGGAAAGGUGGGAGGUGAAUCCCUGGCAAGGGGGAAGGCACCAAGGACAUACCUGUGGGCACUUGGCAGCGCUGUAGCAAUCCCCGGCUGUGGCAAAAGGGACGGGAUGUCCUUCGCUUGUCCUUGCAAACUGUAAGUCAGUGGCUGUGGGGUGGAGAAGGGGUUAAAGGCAGGGGAAGGUAAGAGUGGGAGAAAGGCAAGGAAGGAACAGGACAUUAACAAGGAGACAGAAGGGAAGAAGAAGAAUAAGAGGGAAUGGGAGAGAAAGAAGCAAUGUGAAAUAUUAGUGGGUAAAUGGAUCCAGAUGCUCACUUGCUUUUUCCUGAUUAUAUUUGUGGUUCUGCGAGCUUCAUUCCCCGAGCUUCAUCAGCCCCGAAUGUCUGUCUCCCCACAGUAUGGAAGCCAAAAAGGGGGUUUCAAAUGACUUUGGAAUUGAUUCCUACAUAAAUAAAUAUGUGAAUCACCUCACUUAAAUGUAGCGUAAUUGGCUGGCUGAGAACCUCCUGUUAUCCUGCAUCACAGGCUUCAGGCCAGGGGGAAAUAAGCCAGGAAGAGAGCAUUUCCAGCUACUUAGGAGCGAUUCCCUGAGGUUUCCUCUGUCCUCCUGUUGCCUAGGCAGUAUUAUUGCCAAAAUGUGGCGCAAUUAGAACCCCCAUCUUGAAAUUAUUGACAGCAGUUUCUCAAGUUCGGGGCUAGCCUGUAAUUUUUUAUUUUUUAAAGAGCCAAUAAAUACAAGGCUAACCCAAAGUGCACGUUGUUAACCCCUACUGUAGCUCCUGAGAUGAGCUCUGCACAUGCAAAGGGAGGAGUUAACCCGAGAAUCCUGCAAAAGCUGUCUGCCAGGGAGACUGGAGGCCAGAGGCAGGUUUCAUCUUUCUGCCUCGUCUUUCAGGAAUGGCCUUAAUCUUCCUACAGUUCACUACACUUUGGUGAGAGGGAAAUCCCAGUGCUCCAUUCUGCAAGGAAAGGGGACCUUGCCUGCUUCAGCAUGUAGAACCCUUGGGUCUUAGCUGGGGUGUUUUCCUAAGUGGAGAAACUGCAGACCCUCUGCCUUUACCCCUCAUCAUUCUAGCUCAAGGAAAUUUAAAGUAUCUUGGUACAAAUCACGUUUAAUCUAUCUCAAGAGAAAAGGAAUGCAAUAUUAUGGGUAUAAUGUUAAUGAGGAAAAAUUAAUUAUUCAUUAUUUCUGUUUUUCCUUUAUGCAAGGGAACAUGUUGAGGUAUUUUAGCUGUCUUUAACCACUCCUAUGAUUAAUGUCCCCAACAGAGAUGCAGUGUUGGCGAGAGUAUGAAAUCAGCCCACACACAGGCUAGUUUAGAAAAGGUAAUUCUGUGUUCCAUUUUUCUUCUGCACAUUGACGACUGAAUAAAAUUAGUUUUACGUCUGUGUAAGCAUGUACACUGUGCUGGCGAAAGCUGGGCUGGGGGUGGUGAAUGUUGCCCAUGAAUUUCUUGGCUUUGGGGUUUUGUAUCUGCUGUUUAUUCUACCUUGAACACUUCUGCUACCAGCUCUGCUUCCCCCACACUGACCCCUGUGCCUGGCUAACCCUAACUUGACCUUAGGGUCUCUAUUUCAAUGUCAUAUUUUCUGGAAUGCUGCCCUGACCUCCCACAUUUCAAUGGUGCUUCUUUCAUGCACUUUCACCUACUUCAUUCAUUCAUUCAUUCAUUCAGUUCAUUCAUCACAAAUCGGAGAGAGCACCUGCCUUGUGCGAGCCACUUUCCAGGCACUGGGGAAUACAGCAGUGAACAAAAGAGACAAAACUGCCUGCAGGACUAUCCUCGCUGCACUGUAAGCUCCCAAUGUUCUUCCUCUCCAUACUAGCCAAUGUGCAAUGUGCAAUGUGCAAUACGCACCUCCCUGCUAGCCAAUGUGCAAGACAUGCUUGCUGUCUGAAUGGAGAGAAGAACGCACACGUUCCCAAAGGACUCCUCACUAACUUACUGAUUAUCUGCAUGCUGGUCAGGUCUAUUCUGAUUUUCUGAAAACUGGAAAACCCAGCGGCCGUGUAAUCCUUCCGACAUUGGCAGUCAUCGCGCCGGCUCCCGUUAUAGGGACAUUCUGUUGGGUUGUGUAACCUAAAUUAUACAGAGAAUGUUCUGGUAAGGAUGGGAAAGCAUUUCCAGGGAUCUCCAGGCCUCUGAGAUCUUCUGAGCCUGGCUCUCCUACCUGUGCCCAUAAACCUCGGAGAAAUUCUCAGAGUCUCCAUGCACCAGUGUCACGUACUCUUUGGGGUGGUCAGAGUGCAUCCCCGCACAGAAUAUCUGAAAGACCAUAAAUAACCCAUGAAGAGUGGCUCAGAAAUGAGGUAAUGAGAGCGGUGAUCACUCACUCUAAAAACAUUCUUGAAAUAAUGACUGGUGUCUGACAUUCACCUUCAGAAGCUUUCCUCUAAUCAUCAGGAAAUAUUCACCAUCUUCACUGGCACCUUUAAGUCUUUUUACCUCCUUGCAAUUCUGGGGUAACUCACCUAGAAAACACCAAUCACAAAAAAUAGGGUGUGAUGAUCCGAGAUGUGAAUUAUCUGCCUAUAGAAUGAAUGACAUUGUUCGCACUAAAACUUUUUAGCAAAGCGAAUGAUUUCCUUCAGAAAAAAUUCUAUAUUUCUAAAAAGGGCAGGCAAUCAAAUGAACAAAGACAUCCUGUUCUUCAUGCUAAAGAAAGAUAACUUCAGUUGGCCAACUUACAGUUAUAGACAUUACGGCAGGUUUUUCGUUCUUCUGGCUUCAGAUCAGUGUGGCAUAAGUGGCUGGGUUGGUCCUCAUUGGUUAAACAUUGCACAGAUCUCUGCAUCACUCCAACACCACAAGACACUGAGCACUGUAAGACAAAUGAGAGUCAGCGGUGUGGCUAUGGAAUGUGGGAGGCAUAGGCUUCUGGUGGUGUGGAGCUCAGAGCCCUGAUGUCAUCAUGUACAGGGUGUCACUUCAGACCCUGUGUCGCUGAAUACAAAAAGCUGACAUUUACUGAGCACUUACUAUGGGCCAGUCCCUGUGGUAAGCUUUAUAGAUUCAUGUUCAUGCAUUUAUACAAACAUAUAUAUGUAUAAAACACUUAUAUGUGUAAUUUUACACACACACACACACACACAUAAUUUUUUCAUUUAAGCCUCACAGUACCCCUAUGAGAUAGUAUUACCAUUAUCUUAUUUUUACAGGUGGGAGAUUGGGGCUCAAAUUUAAGGAAUUUGUUCAAGGUCAUAGUGGAGCCAGGAUUCAAACCCUAACUGCUUCCAAGUCGUUAUACACUUUUGCCUGAUCACUUUUCAUUUCUUUCUUUCUUUUUUUUUUUUUUGAGACAGAGUUUUGCUCUUGUUGCCUAGGCCGGAGUGCAAUGGCACAAUCACAGCUCACGGCAAUCUCCGCCUCCCAGGUUCAAGCGAUUCUCCUGCCUCAGACUCCCGAGUAUCUGGGACUACAGGCACGCACCACCUCGCCCAACAAAUUUUUGUAUUUUAUUAAAGCAGUGUGUAGAGGGAAAUAUAUAGUACUAAAUGCCCACAAGAGAAAGCAGGAAAGAUCUAAAAUUGACACCCUGACAUCACAAUUGAAAGAACUAGAGAAGCAAGAACAAACACAUUCAAAAGCUAGCAGAAGGCAAGAAAUAACUAAGAUCAGAGCAGAACUGAAGGAGAUAGAGACACAAAAAGCCCUUCAAAAAAUCAAUGAAUCCAGGAGCCGGUUUUUUGAAAAGAUCAACAAAAUUGAUAGACCACUAGCAAGACUAAUAAAGAAGAAAAGAGAGAAGAAUCAAAUAGACACAAUAAAAAAUGAUAAAGGGAAUAUCACCACCAAUCCCACAGAAAUACAAACUACCAUCAGAGAACACUAUAAACACCUCUAUGCAAAUAAACUAGAAAAUCUAGAAGGAAUGGAUAAAUUCCUGGACACAUACACCCUCCCAAGAUUAAACCAGAAAGAAGUUGAAUCCCUGAAUAGACCAAUAACAGGCUCUGAAAUUGAGGCAAUAAUUAAUAGCCUACCAACCAAAAAAAGUCCAGGACCAGACAGAUUCACAGCCGAAUUCUACCAGAGGUACAAACAAGAGCUGGUACCAUAUCCUUCUGAAACUAUUCCAAUCAAUAGAAAAAGAGGGAAUCCUCCCUAACACAUUUUAUGAGGCCAGCAUCAUUCUGAUACCAAAGCCUGGCAGAGACACAACAAAAAAAGAGAAUUUUAGACCAAUAUCCCUGAUGAACAUCGAUGCAAAAAUCCUUCAUAAAAUACUGGCAAACCGAAUCCAGCAGCACAUCAAAAAGCUUAUCCACCAUGAUCAAGUUGGCUUCAUCCCUGGGAUGCAAGGCUGGUUCAACAUAUGCAAAUCAAUAAACGUAAUCCAUCAUACGAACAGAACCAAACACAAAAACCAUAUGAUUAUCUCAAUAGAUGCAGAAAAGGCCUUCAACAAAAUUCAACAGCACUUCAUGCUAAAAACUCUCAAUAAAUUAGGUAUUGAUGGGACAUAUCUCAAAAUAAUAAGAGCUAUAUAUGACAAACCCACAGCCAAUAUCAUACUGAAUGGGCAAAAACUGGAAGCAUUCCCUUUGAAAAUUGGCACAAGACAGGGAUGCCCCCUCUCACCACUCCUAUUCAACAUAGUGUUGGAAGUUCUGGCCAGGGCAAUCAGGCAGGAGAAAGAAAUAAAGGGUAUUCAAUCAGGAAAAGAGGAAGUCCAAUUGUCCCUCUUUGCAGAUGACAUGAUUGUAUAUUUAGAAAACCCCAUCGUCUCAGCCCAAAAUCUCCUUAAGCUGAUAAGCAACUUCAGCAAAGUCUCCGGAUACAAAUACAAUGUGCAAAAAUCACAAGCAUUCUUAUACACCAAUAACAGACAAACAGCCAAAUCAUGAGUGAAUUCCCAUUCACAAUUGCUUCAAAGAGAAUAAAAUACCUAGGAAUCCAACUUACAAGGGAUGUGAAGGACCUCUUCAAGGAGAACUACAAACCACUGCUCAACGAAAUAAAAGAGGACACAAACAAAUGGAAGAACAUUCCAUGCUCAUGGAUAGGAAGAAUCAAUAUCAUGAACAUGGCCAUACUGCCCAAGGUAAUUUAAAGAUUCAAUGCCAUCCCCAUCAAGCUACCAAUGCCUUUCUUCACAGAAUUGGGAAAAACUACUUUAAAGUUCAUAUGGAACCAAAAAAGAGCCUGCAUUGCCACGACAAUCCUAAGCCGAAAGAACAAAGCUGGAGGCAUCAUGCUACCUGACUUCACACUAUACUACAGGCUACAGUAACCAAAACAGCAUGCUACUGGUACCAAAAUAGAGACAUAGACCAAUGGAACAGAACAGAGCUCUCAGAAAUAACACCACACAUCUACAACCAUCUGACCUUUGACAAACCUGACAAAAACAAGAAAUGGGGAAAGGAUUCCCUAUUUAAUAAAUGGUGCUGGGAAAACUGGCUAGCCAUAUGUAGAAAGCUGAAACUGGAUCCCUUCCUUAUAUCUGAUACAAAAAUUAAUUCAAGAUGGAUUAAAGACUUAAAUGUUAGACCUAAAACCAUAAAAACCCUAGAAGAAAACCUAGGCAAUACCAUUCAGGACAUAGGCAUGGGCAAGGACUUCAUGACUAAAACACCAAAAUCAAUGGCAACAAAAGCCAAAAUAGACAAACAGGAUCUAAUUAAACUAAAGAGCUUCUGCACAGCAAAAGAAACUACCAUCAGAGUGAACAGGCAACCUACAGAAUGGGAGAAAAUUUUUACAAUCUACCCAUCUGACAAAGGGCUAAUAUCCAGAAUCUAUGAAGAACUUACACAAAUUUACAAGAAAAAAUCAACCCCAUCAACAAGUGGGCGAUGGAUAUGAACAGACACUUCUCAAAAGAAGACAUUUAUGCAGCCAAAAGACACAUGAAAAAAUGCUCAUCACUGGCCAUCAGAGAAAGGCAAAUCAAAACCACAAUGAGAUACCAUCUCACACCAGUUAGAAUGGCGAUUAUUAAAAAGUCAGGGAACAACAGGUGCUGGAGAGGAUGUGGAGAAAUAAGAGCGCUUUUCCACUGUUGGUGGGACUGUAAACUAGUUCAACCAUUGUGGAAGACAGUGUGGCUAUUCCUCAAGGAUCUAGAACGAGAAAUACCAUUUGACCCAGCCAUCCCAUUACUGGGCAUAUACCCAAAGGAUUAUAAAUCAUGCUGCUAUAAAGACACAUGCACACGUAUGUUUAUUGUGGCACUAUUCACAAUAGCAAAGACUUGGAACUAACCCACAUGUCCACCAAUGAUAGACUGCACUAAGAAAAUGUGGCACAUAUACACCAUGGAGUACUAUGCAGCCAUAAAAAAGGAUGAGUUCAUGUCCUUUGUAGGGACAUGGAUGAAACUGGGAACCAUCAUUCUCAGCAAACUAUCACAAGGACAGAAAACCAAACACUGCAUGUUCUCACUCAUAGGUGGGAACUGAACAAUGAGAACACUUGGACACAGGGUGGGGAACAUCACAUACCGGGGCCUGUCAUGGAGUUGGGGGCAGGGGGACGGAUAGCAUUAGGAGAUACACCUAAUAUAAAUGACGAGUUAAUAGGUGCAGCACACCAACAUGGCACAUGUAUACAUAUGUAACAUACCUGCACUUUGUAUACAUGUACCCUAGAACUUAAAGUAUAAUAAUAAAAAAAUUAUAUUUUAAGUAGAGACAGGAUGUCACCAUGUUGGCCAGGCUGGUCUCGAUCUGCUGACCUCAUGGUCCGCCGACCAUGGCCUCUCAAAGUGCUGGGAUUACAGGUGUGAGCUACCAUGCCUGGCUGCCUGACAACUUUUCAAGACUGAGAGCUGCCUGGUCCAGAGCCAGGGGGCUGUGACAGUCUUCCAGGGCAGUCCCAAUUUAAAAUAUUCUGCCUUGUUGUAUCCCAGUGCAAUGAAGUAUUUCUUACAUAGAAGCACUAGAACAUACAGACUUCUUAACAACAUAAGCAACAAUAACUACUCCUUCUGUAACUCUUAUGAGUAUCAGAUUUUAAGCAUUUUUUUAAAACAAAUUUGCAGUAAAAUAUAUAUAAAACAUUUGCCAUUAUAACCUAAGUGCUUUUUAUAUAUAGGCUGAGUAUCCCUUAUUGGAAGUGCUGGGGACCAGCAGUAUUUUGCAUUUAAGAUUUUUUUUUUUUCAGAUUUGGAAUACUUGCAGUAUUACUAGUUGGAUAUUCCUAAUCUGAGCAUCUGAAACUCAAGAUGCUCCAAGGAACAUUUCAUUAUGGUGUCAUAUCGACACUAAAAAAUGUUUGGAUUUUAUAGCAUUUUGGAUUUUGGAUUUCUGGAUUAGGGAUGCUCAAUCUGUGUAAACUCAUUUCAUCUUCACAACUACCAGUUUUGCAGAUGAGAAAACUGAGACACAAAGGUUAUGCAACUUGCCCAAGGUUGUUCACCUGGGAAGUGGCAGAACCAGGGUUCAGAUCCAGACUGUCUGGCUUCAGAGCCCAUGUUCUAAGCACAAAGCCACUUUGGUAAACAGAAAGAAGUCCCUUUGAUCCCUGUUAGCCCAUUUCAAGUUGCUAACUCCAGGGUUUCUCCUGGAAGUAGAGUUACUAAGGAGAGCGGGUUAGGCAGGACAUGUUUAAGACGGGGUUGAGAUCCAAGGGCUUUCAGAUUUGAGUGCUCAGUCUUCUACUUACGCUCCCCCAGUUGCCAACUCUCCAGGUGGCCGAGACAGGGCAGUCCCUCAGGUAACAGGGGUGAACACUGGGGGGCUGCGUGCCUGGGCAGUUGAUGGUGGUUUGGUAGCUGUAUUCAUAAUUCUCCUUCCCGGUGUAAAUCUCGCUGCACGAGACAAGCCUUUGUUUGUAGCCUUUUCCACAGGUCACUGAGCACUGCAAAGACAGGGAUUGAGAGGAGAGGUUCGAGCAGUUCCUGGGGGCAGCCCACAAUAGGCCCCUGACCUCCACACCAAGCGCUGACCGUGUGACUAUGCUGCAGAAAGCUCCCACUUCAUUAGCUUAUUUAUUCAUUUCAAGUGGCAGGCCCUGAGCGCACAGGAGACAGGCAACCCUACAGGGUGCCUCUGGGAUCUGGUGCUUCCACUGGCAUCUUCUCAGCCCCCACUGCAGGUGGGGUUGCCUCAAACCCCUUCUGGAGGUUUCGAAGGGAGGAGGAGGGGGAGGUGCUCCAGCUGUCAUUCAUUCAGUUUGCAUCUUCAGCCCAACUGCACAGGUUGGCAAACUGCUCUUUUCUAAAGCUAUGAUGACCACCAAAUUGGGAAGGGAAGAGGAGACAGCAGCAGCUGACCCGUGAGUCGGCAUUUUGAGUGUGAAAUCCAAGCACUGAGCCAACGGGGACUCUGGGACUGUUUUCCUUCCCUCCGUGGUGCUGUUGGCUUUCCUACCUGCCCUCCAUUUAAUUUCUUUCUCCUAUCUCUCUCCCUGGCUAUAGAUUUUUUUUUUUUUUUUUUGAGACUGUGUCUCACUCUGUUGUCCAGGCUGGAGUGCAGUGACAUGAUCUCCGCUCAAUGAAACCUCCGUCUCCCAGGUUCAAGUGAUUCUCAUGCCUCAGCCUCCCAAGUAGUUGGGAUUACAGGUGUGUGCCACCACACCCAGCUAGGCUAUAGAUGUUGACUGGCAUGUUACCUUUCUGCUUUUCUACCUCUUGCUCUAUAUCACGCCCUCAUCUGUACUCUUUUAUCCUAAGUCUAUGGCAUUUAAACAUACUCUACCAAUACAGAAAUGCAGAAGAAAUACACAUCGUUAUAGUGUCCCAACUUUCAACCUCCUUAGCUAAGUUUUUUUUUUUAUCAUUUUCUAUAUAAAAAAUAAAACAGAGUUACAAUUAAUUUAGUUUUGAUGAUAUUUUUAGGCAACAGCAUCAAAUAACUGGUCAUCUUUUGUAAAUGUGCUUCAUAAACUUGGGGUAGAGUGCCGGUAUUCUCUAGACUUACGGUUCUUGGGUGAGGGUGGGAUAAAUACCCCAAAACAGUAUGCCACAUGUGGUGUGUUAUGCUUUUUCUGGGGUGAGGGACCACAGCUUUCAUCAAUUCUCAAGGGCAGUGAGAAGCCACAGUGUCUGCUCUGCCCUAAUGUCUCCUGCUGCUUUUAGUCACAUAGUUUUCUUCUCCUGCAACUUUUCCAGGGAAAAGGCUCUCCUUGAAGAAAUCCCAGAGGCAGGAGAGAACAAGUCCAGCUAGAGGCACGCAGAGCAUCCCUAGGCCUUCCCUUCCAGUUGGCUCGAGACAUAGAAAUGCUCUGUGUACAUUUCUUCCUUCUUUGGCUGCUGCUGUUCAAAUGUUUGAAGGCCAAGUUGACGCCAGGCCAGGAAAGUGUAAGGCCAGCCCGGGGUGUUUCAUGCAGAUGGCUAACAAACUCUGUCCAAGCUGUGGGUAAUCUUAGUGUCUGACCCAGUGUUGCAUGCAUUGACAACAGUCCAUACUAACUUAAACAAAGUUGUGCAUUUGAGAGGGGCAAGGAAUGAGACUCUUGACCCCUACAAACCAGGAGCAAAAGUCGUCCCCUGGCUAUUUAUGUGGGGGGGAGCCCAGUGGGAGACAGGCAUUUGCUGAUGGAACUGAGCCCCAAAUAUGGUCAGGCUAAACACAGAGGCCUCCACAUCUCUAUAAAGAAGCUGGCAAGAACAGAUGCUCUCAGCUAGCUGAUAUCAGCAUUGUGAAAAUGUUGACUGCUGCUGGUUUCCUCAAACCAUUUCAGAGAGAAACUCAUACUGUAGACUCUGCAUGCCUUGGUGUAUGUGCUUGGUUCCACAUGAGCACGUAUUACUUUUCUAAAUUGAAAAUAACAGCAAAGCAAAACAAUAAGACUGUGGGCUCCCUGCAUGAGCUGUACACUUCAGGCCCUGCUAGAAAAUGCAUGUGUCAAUCAGGACUGACAGAGCUCUUCUUUGCCAGUCUAGCUCGGGCCUCCGCCAAUUCAGGUGGAGUAGAGCUCAGAGAAAAACACACAAAGAAGCCUCCAGGUAAUAGAGGUCCCAGAGAGAAGGCAUGUCUUCUUUUCUAGAGAGGAUGCUGGUGCCAGUCCCUUUCGGCCCCUCUCCCCUCAUUGCAGGUUUCCUUCCCUGUGGUCCCUGUAUCUGUGCUAAAUACUGUUUCCAGCCCUGUAGUUGUUGCCCAUAAAUUUGCAGACUUUUCAAUUCAUGAUACACCUGCAAAUUUACAGAAAUGUGGAAGGCUUCCUUUUUUCUUUUCAAUCUUCUCCCUGUUUCAUCUUUUGGGGGUUAUGGUUAUAUUAAAGCUAUAGGAGUAAUAUGACUCAAGUCCCAUAAUAAAAGUGCUACACAAGAGAUAAGCUAAGAUGAAGAUGUCAAUCUUGGCCAGGUGAAAGGUGAGAUCCCCCUGCGUUGGGAUCUGGAUGGGUUGGAACCUAUGCCUCAAACCCAAUAUCAAGAACUAUUCUGAACACUCAUUUGGAUUCCACAUGUUCCUGGCUGGCCAAGAGCAAAUCAAUGUCGUAAAGAUCAGAACCAUGUCUCCUCUUCACUCUCUAAGGGCAUGCGGUACUACUCAGGGCAUACCGAGAAGAUGCAGGGUUGGGGUCGAGCAGGGUUUCCCAGCCUCAGCACCACUGACAUUUGGGCCAGAUAAUUCUGUAUUGUGAGGGCUGCCCUGCGCACUAUAGGAUUCUUAGCCCCAUCCCUGGCCUCCACCUUCCAACCCUGGCCAGUAGGGUCCCCUUUCCCCAGCUGUCACAACCAAACUGUCUCUAGACACUGCCAAAUGUCCCCUCGAAGGACAAAAUUCACAGGAAUAAAGGAUAGGGCGAGAUAAUUAGAAAAGACUUUGGGAUCAGCUUUAGUGCAGGAAGCAAUUCAACACCCAACACACACAUCAUCUAAAUGCAAAUAUUCAUCUCAUUAACAUGUGAAAUUGCUGCCUGUCAAACUUUGAAGAGACCCAGUGGCAGCAAUCAUAUUACCUAACAAUUUUCAAUACCUUUACUGUGAGUCCAGAUGCCUCCCUUUCGAAUCUCUAAAUGCUUUUGGGCAAAUGACAACUGGUUUGACUGCUACAGAUCUCUCAUACAGAUAUGAACAUAUUACGAUGUUUGAAAAUAAUAUAAUCAUGCUAUGAUUACUACUGGUUUAUUACCAUUAAAAAGGGUCUAGAUAAGCACUGUGCACAGGAAGAUAUAUGAAAAAAUGGUACUUGAGAUACUUCGGAUAUUAUAGAAAAUUAUUUUCUUCCUCUGAAGCUGUUUGUUAAACAGGCACAACACAUCUGGUUCAUGAAAGGGGUUUGUUUGCCCCUUACAAUGUUUUAAAACCAAAAAUUUCAGCCCCCAUUUUCAAGUUAGGAAAUCUCACAUACUAGUCCAGAUUUUUAGCCUCUCUUGAAAAAUCAGGUCUGGUAACGCUAGACCACAUUUCUGCAUGGCCACAGCUGGAGUGAAAGAGAUUCUGCUCCCUUCACACAGCAUGUGCUAGUUUGUCACAGUUGCCAUCUCUCCUUGUUGUAUCCCUGGCACUACAGUAUUUUCUUAUACUUAACUGUCUUCAGGCACCUCACAGCAUCCUAUGAGUUUGCAGCCCCUGUAAUAAUUUCUUCUUUAUGCCAAUAGGACAUCAAGGUGAAUCACAGAAUGUAGACCUGAAGGGACUUAGAGACCAUCUCUUACAUCUCUCCCGCUUUGCAUACAAGGAAUUCUAGCUUGGGAAAGCUGAGGACUUGUCAGAAAACACACAGUUCACAGUGGCAAAUCGGGCGGGUAGCCUCAAGUCUCCCACAUUCCUGCACUCAUCCCUCCACUCAUCCCUCUGCCACUCUCAGGCCAUGGCUGAGCUGACGAUGGUUACAGUUCCCAGGACGGUACCUCUGACCAUUCUCCUGUGAUCCAGACAUACUCGCAGGGUUGCAAACUACAGCUUUCACGGUCCACCGGCCGCUUGCUCACGUCACAGCGUGCCCCAUGCACCUCGUUUUUGUUGUCAUCCACACACACCACCUUGCGGUACCUGGAGCCUUCGCCGCAGGUCUUGGUGCACUGUUAAAUACAAGCAAAAGAGAAGAAUAAACCGUAGUUCCUUAUAUCCUAUGACUGUAAUUAUGUGUUUACCUGUCUACAUAGCCUUUAAGAUCAUAAGAGCCCUGAGGGCAGGGAUUGCCAGAGAACUUCUCGUUUUUUUGUUUUUUUGGUUUUAUUUUUUUUGAGAUGGAGUCUUGCUCUGUCUCCCAGGCUGGAGUGCAGUGGCACGAUCUUGGCUCACUGCAAGCUCUGCCUUCCGGGUUCACGCCGUUUUCCUGCCUCAGCCUCCCGAGUAGCUGGGACUACAGGCGCCCGCCACCACGCCAGGCUAAUUUUUUGUAUUUUUAGUAGAGACAGGGUUUCACAGUAUUAGCCAGGAUGAUCUCGAUCUCCUGACCUCGUGAUCUGCCCACCUCGGCCUCCCAAAGUGCUGGGAUUACAGGCGUGAGCCACCACUCCCGGCCGAGAACUCCUCAUUUUACCCCAGUUACCUAACAACUCUGUUCCUGGCAUUCACCACCCAGCUGUCUAAAGGAAGGAAGGAAAGUAUAAAUGAGUCAAUCUCAGUUUAGAAAGGACCUUAAAUCCUAUUUACUUCAAACACCUACUCACAAGUGACUUGAUAUUGACACUUAUGGCCAAAUGUUUACCAAGCUGGUGUCUAAAUACCUCCAGGAUCAGGGACAUCAGUACCUUCCCAGAUAGCCAUCUCAUUUCAUAACAUGGAACCAAACAAAUCUCUUUGUAUGUUCCAGGCCCCUGUCCUAGUUUUCCAUUCCAGGAAAGCAUAAAGGAAAGUUUCAGCUCUCACAAGUAAUCUCCUUCAGCUAUUUGAAGAGGGCUUUCCUUUAGCCCCAGGUGCCUUUUCUUCUCCAGGGGAACUGCUCUCAUGCCACAUCAUUCUGCAAAUAUUCACUAAGUUCCUACUAGGUGUCAGGCCCUGUGACGGGUCCUGGGUGAACAAGAGUGCACACAAAUGGCACAUUCUCUGUUUUCAGAGAGGAGCUUAUAUGUUAGUAGCAAAGGCAGACAACAAAGAAGAUAGCUAGGUAGUGAGAUUUAACAAUUACUGUAAUUCCGUUUUCCAGAUGAAGAAAAUGGGACUUUGAGAGCCUAAGUUACUUGCCCCAGGUCACACAUCUCUUUGUGAGGUAGACGGGACAGCUAUGUUUAUUCCCAUAAGCCAAGGGAUGAUUACAGAGCAAGUGGUAUGUUUCAUUCUAGGAUAAUCUCUAUGUCCACAGAUUCUUAUUUGUUUUGCUUUAGCCAACACCAAACCCCACCCCUGAAGUUUAUCCUUAGUGCCCUGUGUUGCUAAAGGUCACUGAAAGCCUAUUGUAUCUAAAGCCUCUGUGUCACCCAACAUUUCAAGACUCAUUGGGAAGCCCCAGUGAGCUAAGUGAAACCUGUACCAAGGACUGCUGCAGUUUCUUAAUUUAGGCCAGGGAUUGAAUACCCUGUUGGCAACGGGCUUAUCUAACAACUGUGAUUUUUGUUGUGUGGUCAGAAUGUUGUCUUUUCUUUUCUUUCCUUUUUUUUUUUUUUUGAGACAAAGUCUCCCUCUGUUGCUCAUGUUGGAGUGCAGUGAUGUGAUCACAGUUUGCUAUAGCCUCGACUUCCCUCCUACAUUUUAGUCCCAAGUAGCUGGGACUACAGGCAUGAGCCACCACGCUCAGCUUAUUUUUAAAUUUUUUGUAGAGAUGAGUCUCACUACGUUGCCCAGUUUGGUCUUGAACUCCUGGGUUUAAGGGAUCCUCCUGCCUUGGCCUCCCAAAGUUCUGGGAUUACAGGCGUCAGCCAUCAUGCCCAGCUAGCACACUGUCUUUUAAAAUGUCUAAUUUUAGUCUCUUUACGGAGAACUACAGACCCCACCUCUCUUUUUCAUCUAAUGGGCAGCCUUUCCUUUUAUCCCUGCCUUGCCUCAAAGGCAUUUAUGUUUGGAACUCAGCUUCACUCAGAAAUGUCUUCUAUGAUAUGCCCUAUGUCUUUUUUUUUUUGGUGAUAAAAUACACAAAAUAUAAAAUUCACCAUUUUAACUAUCACAAGUAUAGAAUUCAGUGGCCUUUAGGACAUUUGCAAUAUUAUGCAACCAUCACCCCAUCUAGUUCCAGAAUAUUUCAUCACUGCAAAAGGAAGCCUUGUACCCGUUCACCAGUCCCUCCCCAUUCCUUCCUUCCUGUAGCCCCUAGCAAACACCAGUCUGCUUUCUGUCUCUGCAGAUUUGCCUAUUCUGGGUAUUUCACAUAUAUGGAAUCAUCCAAUAUGUGGCCUUUAUUACCUGACUUCUCUCCCUUAAUGUUUUCGAGGUUCUUCCAUAUUGCAGCAUGUAUCAAUAUUUCACUCCUUUUUAAGGCUGAAUAAGAUUCUGUUGUACGGAUAUACCACAUUUUGUUUAUCCAUUCCUCAGUUGAUGGACAUAUGGGUUGUUUCUCAUUUGGCUAUUGUAAAUAGUGCUGCUAUGAACAUUCAUGUACAAAUUUAAACACCUAUUUUCCAUUCUUUUGGGUAUAUAUACCUGGGAGUGGAAUUGCUGGGUCAUAUAGUAUGCCCCGUGCCUUUCGUGAGCUACCCUGUUCCUUUAGGAAGGAGAAGGGAUAUGCUGGCAUUUCCUGGUAGCCCCUUGUCACUUGCAAACUAAACUUAAAAUUUCUGCUGCUUGGGAGUAAACCUCAAUAUCUAGAAUAUGGAGUCAGUCCUCAUUUUUCUGGAGCAUAAACAUAACUUGAAACCACUGUGAGGUGAGCAUGGAGGAGCAGAAUCAUUUCAAAUUAGUGCAGGAGGCCGGCUGAGCCCAGUUCCCUAGCUCAUCCCUAGCUCAGUGGUUUUGGGGUUCUCUAUUCCCCUAGAAAAAAAGUGUUUUUUUCAUCAUUAAAAAGGUGAGAUAGAGGGCCACCGAAUGUUAAAAAAGAAAAGAAAAGAAAAAUUUAAUCUGUGAUGUGUAGAUAUAUGCAAAUACUUAACCACCCAUAGAAAAAGUAAUUCCUUAGAAAAUUAGGACUUAGGUGACUCUGAGAAGAUCCUAAUUAUUGCGCAGCUAAACCUGGACUAAACCUUCCAGUAUCCUCUCUUGUUUUCACUAAUCCACAAGGCUUUAAUCUGCAUCAAUAAGUAACAGUUCAGAGCAGAAAUACAAUGAAUCCUAAAUACUUUAUGCUUGUUAAGCGUUUCUCUCUCAGUCUUAAAGAAUGGUUAACUACUGUAAAGACUAUUUUGCCAGCGGUGGAAAGGGGAGCUGGAAAAAUUUACCUUGAAUAUAACUUUUACAAAAUUAAAAAUUAAACUAAGUAAAUAAGUGACUUGCCCAGUGUUUCCUAAAUUAGUCAACAGCAGCUCUGAAAAUCACAUGGCAAGGGUUUUCUCCUGGAAUCUUAAAUCCUAACUAGGGUAUGGGGGCUGGGUAAUCAGAAAACAAAUCGAGUCCAUGCUAUCAGGUUUCAUCAGCUUUUUGUAAUAUGGCUUCCCCCUCAACCCUCUACGAUUUAUGACUCUUUCCCCUGUCCUGGAAUAUGAUCUAGAAUGUUCUGAAAAACAGUUGGAAAGUUCAAUUAGCCUCAUUUUAAUUUCCAAAAGGUUUUCUCUAAUUUCAGUAUGGCUUUUAGAAAAAUCUCUAACACAAGUAACACCACCAGCCUCCUUGCAUUUCAUCACACACUAUAAUUCAGAAAGAAAAUAAUCACAGUGCUGGACUAAAUCGGGCAGCUCGCCCAUUGUUCUGCAAGCUACAUGUGCCUUUAAAUAUGCUGAAAUUAACAGGGGGAAAAGAACUUCUCCGAAUUUGAGGGUGAGGAAGACCUAAAGUAAACCCUGAAGGUGGUAUUUUAUUCAGCCAGGUAGGUUGGCCACAGAGUGAUGGUCUGAAAAGGAUCAUUUAAUGCAAUGGGUAGAAAUUUUCUUUGCUUAAAGAUUAUAAUCAAGUUGCUUUACACUUUCAAAUAUAUCUUUUGGUGCAAUUCCCUAACCAUGGGGGGAAGAAAACCGCUUGAGAGUCACAGGCUCUACCUUUUAAGGUUGUUGAUUUUCUCCAUGGAUGAAAGACCUUGUCUUCUCUAGUGCUGGGUUACCAUUGUUGCACAGUGUAUGGACGGCAACUCACAGAACCACAGGGUUCCUGGGUUUUUAUGUCAUGAGAAGCAGCAAUGACAAAUCAGUUUAUCUAGCGUUGCUUUAAAUGGCAACAACGAAAAAAGCAGUCCUUACUUUAAAGCUCAUUUUAAAGUCAGGUAUACAGAAUUUAGACAUUUUUGCUCCCAAAUAGUAUAUAUUUGUUAGGAGGUGCGGUGGGGAGAAGGAGGCAGAAAUAAUACUAUGGAGACACUUUGUAACUUUAAAGUCAUUCAUUCAUUCAAUCAAUCAGUAUUUUACAAUGAGCCAAGGUCUAUGCUGGGGCCCCGGGAGGCAGCCUCCAUGGCUUCGUACCCUGUCUCUCUCCCUGUUAGGACACCCAGGGUGGCAGCUAUUCCCAACUUGGGUUCCCAUGUGUUAGCUCAGCUGGCUGACUGGUGACCCCUGGGGUUUAACACCUAGGGCUACCUGUGCAGUUGUGUAAGCAGUUGUGUUUGUAACAGAGCAUGUAAUUGAGUAAGAAGCCACCAGGGAGAGAAGAGGAAACACAACGGGGCAAUUCCCAUGAUGCUGCAAAGGUGGGCCCAGGUAGCAGCAGAUGAGCAGGAGAAUGAUGGAGGACAUCAGUUCACCAGGCAAGGAGGGGAAGAGGACAUUCUUAGGAGGGGCUCAGCAUGCACGGUGGCUGGAGGUGAGAAAUGGCAUGGGUGGAGAAGCGGGGGAGCAGAAUGACCACAGCAUUUUGGGGUUUUCAGAGCAGAUUAUUUGUGGUUUGGGAUUUUUAGAGCAUCCCUAAUGCCUAAUGCCUGGAACUUCACAAGGGAUUGAUAAACGCUGGUUGAAUAAAUUAAUAAAAUGAGCAAUAAAGAGUUCGUAUCUGGCUCUGUGCGCACAUCAAAACCUGGUCAUUCCCUACUGUUAACUUCAGGAAAAUCUUUUAAAUCAACUGACCAAGGACCUGCUGCUCAUUUCUAACUUUUCUGUGUUAAGGAGAUGCACUUGGAAAUCAUUCUACAGCUGAUCUUAAUAAAAGCCCUCAGACUCCAAGUAUGUAUCAGAGUGGCCCAAGUCCCCAUACCGCACCAAACAGCAGCGAGGUGAGCAGUUCUGCAACAGUCAGACAUAUCUGAGCACAGCUUGUCCAUGGCAUUGUGAGAAGAAAAUAAAACAGCUGUUCUUACAGGAAAAACAGAGUUUGACUGUGCUUUUAUUUUUUUAUUUUUAAUGUUUUUGAGACAGGGUCUUGCUCUGUUGCCCAGGCCGUAGUGCAGUGGCCUGAUGAUAGCUCACUGCAGCAUUGACCUCCUGAGCUUAAGCAAUCCUCUCACUUCAGCCUCCCAGGUAGCUGGAACUACAGGUCCAUGCCACCAUACUCGGCUAAUUUUUUCUAUCUUUUGUAGAGAUGGAGUCUCACUAUGUUGCCUAGGCUGGUCUCAAACUCUGGGGCUCAAUGAUCCUCCCUCCUUGGCCUCCCAAAGUGCUGGGAUUAUAGGCGUGAGCCACUGUGUCCAGCCUGCUUGACUGUUCUAAAAGUCAUUUUAGAAUGCCUUUAUUCUAUAGAGUGAAAGAUGAAAGUCCAUCAAUUAGCAGGCACUGUUCUAUGUUUUUUUCCUUCCUUCCUUCCUUCCUUCCUUCCUUCCUUCCUUCCUCCCUCCCUUUCUUCCUUCCUCCUUCCUUCCUUUUUUGCUUCCAUCUUUCCCUCCUUCCUUUCUCCCUCCUUUCCUUUCUUCUUUCCUUCCACCCAUCCAUUAUUUUGUUUCCUUCAUUCAUUCACAGAUUCAUUCAUUUAACAGGUAUCUUUGAUGUUGUAGGUACCAUGUUAAAUGAUAGAGAAGAUUCUGGUGAACAAGCUUCCUGACCUUAAAUAACUGAUAACAUAGAUGAGAAAAACAGGCAAUGAGAAUUCCAGGUGUUAACUGCCAGAGUACAGUAAUCUGCGUGUGUUGUGAGAGCUGAGUGGAGGAGCAUCUGACUCAGAUUUAGUGGGGUGGUGUGAUUGGCAAAGGCUUCUGAGAGGAAGUGACAUCUAGGUUGAGGCCUGAAGGAUAAGAAAGGGUGACUGAGGUGAAGGUCAGAGGAAGGUGGUCUUAUGAUGAAGAGGUACUACAAGAGAAGAGUGUAUUCCAGGUAAAGGGGGAAAAGAACACAUGCAGGACCUGUGAGAUCUAUUCCUCAAUGCUGCAGAUGCAUGGCCCCAUACGAUCACAAUUCAAAUUUGACCAGAAGGACCUCUGCUGCUCUAAGUGAAUUUAUAUGUCAGAUUGUGAUACUAUUAACAAGUAAAUCCUUUGUGAUAAUAAUUCUCAAAAGAAUUAAAAAGUCUUUUUUAACUUUUUUCUUCCAAACAGCCUCAUGAGCAUUAUAAUUCUAAAGUGGGUAAAACUGACCACUGCGAGGACAAAUUACUCACCUGAAGCUGGCGGGUGAUAUUAGAAGCCCAACAUUAUAAGGUGCAGGCUGAGUCAAACUGCUGUCAUCACCAGAAGCCUCCAUCGGAAGGCCACCGUACUAAAAAGAAGUCUACUUUGGGAUGGCCUAAAAUGUGCUAGUCACCAUGUCGAAUCAUGUCAUCUCACCAAAUCCUCACUGUGACCCUUGAGCAAAGUCUGCCAUAGAAUUCCCAUUUGGCAGAUGAGCUAAGUGAAGUCUAGAAAUUCAGAGUCAACUUUUCAGAGCCACACACUGAACAGAAUUUUGCCUACAACAUGUUGUUUCUAGGAUGUAAACAAAAUGAGAUGUGGAUGUGUGGAUAGAGCACUUUUCUCUUGUCCAAUUAUUCUACCCUAUAUCUGAAAGUCUGGGCUCUACUCUCAUGGUAUCAAGAAGGCCCCUUUCCCCUGAACAACCAAUGGGCUUCACAAUGAACAGGAAGUCCACUGAGGGGCUCCAACAUCAUCAAGACUCGCCUGGUGACAUGGCUUAAAGUCUGAUAGCUAACUAGAUCAAGAAUCUCCUUUUUAGAAGGGGUAGGUGUUACAACCCAGUAAAGGGAAUACACUUUGAUAGCAACUCUCCAGUAAGAGGCUUGGCAAAUCAUUGAGAGGAAAAUAAAAUAAUUCACUUUAGGUGUAUUUGGCAUCGGAUUAGUGAAGAUAAUGAUUCAGAGUGUAGGUGCCAGCGUGCAAGCUUCCGGGCUUCAAAUUCCAGCCAUAUUAUUUACUAAAUGCAUGAUCAUUGAUAAAUUAACCUACCUAAGCCGCAAGUUGCCCCUAUUAAAUGAGGAUAAAAAUAUAAAUACUACAUCAGAGAGUUAUGGAAAGGGCUAAAUGAAGCACUUCAUGUGAAAAUACUCAACAUAGUGCCUAGUUUGUAGCUUAGUAAACAAUAAGCUUUAUUAUUUUUAUUAUCUUCAGUAUUAGGGCCAUUGUACUAUACAACUCUAGGGGACGCUCCUCACAUUGUAUAAAAAUGGCAUCCCUCAAAGUUGUGCAGUAUACAACCUGUGUGGCUGUACAGAACAUCCCUGAUGACCAUGGCCAUGGUGAGGGUGCAGAAACUGUGCUUCUCUAGGCAGAUGCUUGGAUUAUUUCUCAAAAAGAGGAUGGUGCCAUAUCCUACGGACCAAGCAUGCAAUACACCUUGCCAACAAACUGGUGGGUUUUAAUAGUCCACAUAGGGGACUAUUAAAAGGGGAAGCAAAAGGCAAAGUGCAUACUCAAGCAAACAAGAGUUCUGAGGUGGUGGCCAGGGACCGCUAAGAAAGAAGGGGUAUCCUAUAAUGGGGGGCUCCUGCACAUCCCAUUCAGUGGGCUGAGAGGCUGCCCUGUGGCACACUCUCUGACCUCAGGUCAAGACGUCACUAGGUGUGGGAGAAAAGUGGAAACGUGUGCCUGCAUCAGUGGAUAUCAGGUAAAACGGUGGCUGAAAGAAUGGAUGUGAGAGGCGGUGGCAGCAAGAUCGGAGGUGAGGGCUGUGAUUUAGGGGAGCCUGAAGGGUUCUGUCUUAUCAAGUGACCACCCAGUUUACUGUUGAACAAGGGCGCUUUUGAUCAUAAAAGUAGGAAGAAUUAAUAAUUACAUGAGGACUACCCCAGGCAAACAGGAGGCGUGGCCACCCUUUUCCUGAUUUGAUCAAUUAAGGUAAUUGCCCAGUUACUGUCGUCCUUCACGCUCAGUCUUGCUGCUUUGGGGACAUUCUGAGCAGGCUGUCAGCAGGCCUUGCAUGUAUGGGAAACAUGAAGACUUUUGGUGGGGCUUCUCCCCACCUCCAGCUGCCCUGGGCCUCACUCUGCCAAUGAGAGGCCUCCUGUAGAAUACCAUAGGAAUAUCAUAGGAGAUACUCCUAUGAUAUUCCGUCCACUUUCACCACCCCAGUAUUCCUUCCUUAGACCCUCCACUUUGGGUGAAGGCAGAUGAGAAAGCGUGUUCCCAGGAGGGUGACUAUUAGACUCUGCUUUUCCUGUUACUCACAGAGUCUUUUCUCUUUGUGAGAAUGGCAACCCUCUAGUAAGCUUCUUAAAUAGAGGCCCAGGCCAGGUUAUCUCCUGAAGCCGUCUAUUCUUCCACAGAGUUUAACAGGAAUAUUUGAGUAAGGUUUAAAAAAGAUCCAUCUGCACGACACAUGCAAAGAAGUAAAUUUUAGGCAUAUUGUGCAUGAUCAGAGAAGAGGAAUUUCCUCAGUGCAUAUGUGGCAAGGUUUUUCCAUUCUUCGGGAUGCAAAAGGAAUUGUAAACAGAGUGUGCAUUUUCGUGAUUGGCUCUAGCAUUUUCAAAAGCUGGCUAAAGCACAAGCAGUCAGCUUAGAUUCAUUUCUGAACACUCUCUUACUUUCCGCUCCUCGGAGCAGGGUUGAGUUUAGCGUGACACAAAGAGGGAGAUGGAGAGAGCAGGCCAUGGUAGGUCUGAAAAAAAGAGAAUCAAGAGGUCACACUGAGGGGGAGAGCGAGAGAGAUGAGGGAGUCUCCUCUUCCUUCUAUAUCUGACGUUGCCAAUCCCCAAACCAUAAUAGAUAACACUAUUACCUCCAGUUUUCUCAGAACAACUCUGAAAAGUUAUUUUAUCCCCAUUCUACAAAUGGAUAAUCCAAGGCUCAGAGAAAUCAAGAAUCCUUGUUCUAAUUCCCUUGGCUAAUGUGUGGCAGUGCUAGGAUAUGAACCAAGUCUGUAGAAUUUUAUAGUCUCUAGGGUUCCAAAUAACUGGUGUGGCUCAAGAGCUGUUAAUCUGAAAUGUAACUGCUUUAGGCAUUCCUCCCUGCCACUGUCUGGUGGGAAUAAAAAAGUAAAGAAGGAAAACAGGAAAAAGACUGAGUAGAUGGAGAGGGUGAGUUUCCUAAAGAAAAGAAAUUACUGCAACCAAUGGAAGUAAUCCAUGAGGAGGCGAGGGAAGAGGAAGACAGGGCUGGGCGGCUGAAUCCCAAUGGGGUAAAGAAUGCAGUUCUAGUAUUUCUUAAUGGUUUAAGAGAACAAGCUUAGCAUGAAGUCUUGCUUCUUCCACUUGCUAGGUGCUAGGUAUGUGACACUUGGACAAAUGACACAGAUUCUGUGAACCUCAGUUUUUUCACCUGCAAAAUGGGAUGAUGAUAAUAAUAAUAAUGCUCACCUUGUCUGGUGGUUAAAAAGAUUAAGGGAAGCAAUGAACAAAAAGUACCCAGCACAGUGCCAGGGGUACAGUCUAACUGUUCUCCAAACCAUACCCUUUCUUUAUGUUCUGAAAAACUCUUCAUGGUGGGGAAUUUCCUGCCUUAUUUUUCAUUAUCUCUGCACCUCAAGCAGCAUGCAUUUUGUUUUUUAUGCCAACAUCAGUGGAUAUUGUUUUGCUUUCUAAUUCUUUCCCCCCCUUUUCUACAGUUUAAUCUUCUGUUCUGGAAACAGAGGUUACCUCCUAUAAAACCUCCCUGGCCAAACUUUUCCCCAUGGACACAAUGUUUUCCUUAACCAAACAUUAACUUGAAGCCAGGGAAAAAGCAAGGCCUGUCCACUUCUGCACGGACCAUCAACGGAGCAGUUUCUUCAGAUACCAUCCUUUUUUUUUUUUUUUAAAUGUUAGAAAUCUUUCACUAAUUAAUCAAGGUUUCACAUGAAUGCCUAUCUUCUACCUGACAGCCAAAGUCAUAGAAAGAGGAAAAAUACAGAGUAGGUUCUACCUAAAGUCUGCCCUGCGGCUAUUUAAACAGAUACAGAAUGACCAAAUCUGGAGACACGUAUUUAAAAUAUUCCUUCUAUCUCCCCCUCCUUCUGUGAAAGAUAUCUGAAUGCAUUCGGCCCACAGCCUGUUAAAGUUUUUUUUUUUUUUUUUGAGGCGGCCAGACUUGGAACACUCAGGAAUACAGACAGACGUAGGAAUUGCUUAAAAACAAGAAGUUCUCCCACCCUUGUUGGAGCGAAUGCGCGAGUCUGACAGUGAACCUUUUGGGAAAGAGCCAGCAUUGUAACCGUGCUCGGUGACUUCUCUGGCUUUAUAGGGAACAGAUGUGAGGAUAGCAAGGGGCGCACACGUGAAAUGCCUGGCAGGUACCCCUUUGUGGCUCUACUUACUUCUUGCCAUUCCUCUGCCCUCCAAGUGUAGAGGGGACACCGUGGGCCUUGGCAGUCGCGUUCCGACUCCGGUCUGGUGUAUGGGUUGCACUCGGUCUCUCUGGCUAUUUUGUGUGUUCCGAUCUGACAGCCCACAUGCCUCUGCUGUACGCCUCGGCCACAGGACACAGAGCACUAAGAAGACAGAGAACGUAAGUGGGAGCUUCGGCUCAUUUAUUUUUUGGGGGGGCGGGGGGUGUCGAGGGUCACAGAGGAGGGGAAUGCACUCCUAAUCCAAUGACUUUCAUAGCUAUCACAUCGCUUUCUAAUUUGCAAUGAAAGGGAUCCUAGAUCAUGUCUUAAACCUGGAAACUCACUGCUUAUCUUAUCCACGCUGGAGAGUGAGGAAGGUGCUCAAGUUUGGAGGAAUCCCUCAAGUUAAUGUAAUUCUUAGAGGAUUGAAGAGGUUAAUAAAAAUCAUUAUGAAUCAUUUAGCACAACCUGGAAAUAGUGCUGCCAUGAGAAAUGAAAACUUGAAAUGAUUUCUAUCCUGGAGGAUUUGAGACUCAUGAAAACUGGAGAGACAGUGUUGUACAAGAAGAAUUUCUUGGCAGAUUAAAAAUAUAACCCAAGGAGAAGUAAACCACUGAAGAUUUUAGGACUUUAUAAGUAGAAUUAUUUUCUCCAGUCUCUUCCUUUUCUUGCUCCUAUUCAUGGAGAUAAGGCGAUAUUUUUUUAACCACAGAAUUCACUAAAGAAUUUGUGUCUAUUUACAACCUCAGAUGAAUAUAUGAAGAAUAAAAGCUGACAGGAAAAACCAUUUCCUCGGGCUUAAUGUUUUCAGCCCUUGAAAAAUAUUGUUAAUCAUGUUGAAACAUUUUGCUGACCAACUUGCAAAACACCAUAUUAAAUCUGCAAUUAACUUUCCUCUAAAUUAAUUUUUUAAUGGUUUCCUCAUUGCUGGGUUUCAUAAUCUCACUUAUGGCCAGGCCAAGAAUUAUUGUCUUGAUUAAGGUUUUGACAGCCAGAAACUAAAGGCAACAUUUGGAAAGAAUGGUAUAUUAUUACACUUAGCUAUUAAAAAUUAUUUCCAAAUUUUUGUGAUAGCUCAGCCUCCAUUUUUUGGUCUGGUGUUGAGAAAAUAAGCUUAACAUACAUUAAAGCCAUAUUCCUAAGAGGAAGUCUUCUUAAAUAAUAGAAUCAUGACCUUUCAAACUUGAAAAAAUUAUUUUCCAAUUAACCUGUAGCAACAUUCAACUUUCUUUGAGACUAUUAAUGGAAAUUUACUAUCAAGAAUCACACCCAAAUGUAUUCUGCUGAAUGGUAAUUUUCUCUCCAUUUCAGAUUUUAAGAAAACAGGUAACGAUAUUUAGAAGGUAACUUGAGAAAUCAUACUGUUUCAGAUAAAUCUAUGCCAGAGAGGAGAACCAUAUGUUCACAUCAAAGCUAGCUGAACAGAAGAAAAUAUUUUGGAUCAACAUAGCUACUAUUGUUUGGGCUCAAUUGUAUUAAUUGGAUUGAAUGAGUUUGUGACCCACAAGAAACCAGACUUUUAAAGUCAUUAUGUCCUGGGUGUAAUGGGAGGAUUCCUGAACACAAGUGAUGACCCUAUCUAUAGAGAAUGGCCAUUUAAUGCUCAUUAGAGCUACAUGAAUAAUAUUUCCCAUUGAUUACACUGGAAAAGAAUGUACUGUAACAUGAUAGAGUUACCCCAUAAAUGAUGGACAUGUUCAAAUAUUAUCAUCAUCAAUAAACAACAACCAAAAAGUCUUUUGACUAUUUCAAUUUGGGGUCUUAAAUAUAAAAGAGCACGUUUCUGGAACAAUAUAUCCAAAUACAAAUACAGAAAGAAUAUUGUAAACAAAUUUGAGUUUGGUAUAGGACUCAACUAUAUGCAGAAUCUCAUAAUGUUUUAAUAACCUAAAGAAAAAUGAAAACAUAUUUAAAGACUUUUAGAAUGUAUAAGACUAUUCAGGCUACUAAAUAAAUGAAACCUCUUUUUGAAGCUAUUGUAAUUGAAAAAAUUACUUAUGGUUCAACGAAGGCACGGUACUAAGAGCCAUAAGUAUCCAACAUUUAAAAAAUCACUUCCUACAAUGUUUGAUAAUUUUUCAAAAGACAAAUUAAGACACAGGAAAGUUCAAUUAUACGAUAUGUCAUUCUGGCUUCUGAUUUUCAUGAUGCAAAGCCAGCUUUGAAAUACCACAUUCAAAAGUUUCUACAUGACUUAAGUGCUCACAGCAAGGUACAAGCCUGCCUUUCUGAAUAAUGCAUUCACAGUAAUCUUUGCUCAAAAUGAGGUCCACUCCAUCGGAGUUAGUUUUCUGUGUUCAACUUUUCUUCCUGUGCUAUCUCAAGGGAGGCAACAGUUUGCAUAGAGAGCCAGCCAGGCUUGCUUGGAAUUCUGAGAGAUUUGUGCAGGCACCCCAUGAAUAAAACAGCAGCAGAAAGACCUCUGUGUGACCCCGGAGGCAGUGAUGGUGGUGGUAUGUGUAUGUGUGUGUAAAUCCAAGUUUUCUUGUUCUGUUCAGUACACCUUUUAGUUCGUUUGCAGAUGAAAACAUCUGAAUGGCCUCUAUUAAUGUGCUCCCCCCACAGCCAUCAUCCCACCACCACAGUCUAUUCGUGCAGGUUUCAAAGUAGACGUUUUUCACUCUGAACUCCUGAGCUGGGAGCUAUGUUUCAUCUCUCUCUACUCCCCACUGUGCAAUGCUAGUAUGCAGAACUCACCAACUUAAAAGGGGAACUUGAUGCUUAUUUCCAUAGAGAGAAAGAAUCUCCAUUGAACUUUUGAUGUUUAGGGAAUCAUAAUAUAUACUUGAAAACCUAGAAAUAGUUUUAUAUACUUUCUUCCAGGAUUACUGCUGAAAUUAUGGUGAUGACAUUAAAGCAGCGAUUAGUUUGAAAAACAACUAUAUAAACCAACUUUUAUAAGUAACAAUAAUAGCAAUAAUAACACAAACUUUUACUAAACACUUACUAUAUGCUAGGGUUUCUAUACUAGCAUACAGUAUAUGCUAGUAUACUGAGGUUUCUCAAUUAAAUAAUUCUUUUUUGUGUGUGGGGGGGGCGUUGUCGUGUGCAUUGUAGAAAGUUUAGCAGCAUACCUGGUUUGUAACUACCAGAUGCUAGUUCCCCCUUAUUCCCCCCCAACUUGUGACAAAACUGUCUCUAGACAUUCCCAAAUGUCCCAUGGGGUACAAAAUCACCCCCAUUUGAAAGCUUAGCUCUAGGCUAAGCAUUUUACAUAAAAUACCUCUGAUACUUCCCAAUAAACCUUUUAGGCAGAUACUUCAUAAAUAAAUAAAACAAAAAAACAGAGAUAAUCACCCGAACUCAAGCAAAAACAAAACCAAAAACACAAAGUAAAAUUUGUCUUAGACAAGGUAGCAUAGCUACUGCGAAUGUGCGUUUGCGAUCCCAGUUUUUAAAUUGGUGCUAAUAUGAUGCAGUCUUUUGUAGCAGGUCAGUGAGGGUGUGGGUGAGAGGCCUGUCUUCAAACAAUUCAAUACCAAUGCUCAUGCUUCAAAUACAAACAAAAUAAAUGGAAAGCACAAAAUACUAAAGCAACUCUAGUUCUCCUCACUGACCAUGUGCAUAUGGCUUCCUUAAUUUCUCAAAGAACACAAGCCACACAUUUGCCACAUUUCUCCAUUAAACACUUGAAGGACACUUCAGAAUGACAUCACAAUACAGCUGCUCUAAUUAUAAUUAUAAGAAAAGUCUUAAUCAAGAAUGGAUGGUAGAUUCCAUUUCAGCAUUAGCACUGGAGAUCUUUUAAAAAUUGAUGCUUAUUUCAUUGAAUGUAAGACAACACUGAUUGCAAAACACACCAUUAUAUUUUGUAGCACUAAGAAAGACAACAAGGGCUGUUAAGGAAAUCAUGACAUUGCAUAGUUUGUGAAGCCCAUCCUGACCACAAAGGUGUUGAACUGUGAAGAAGAUCUGCAUCUCAGAACUGAUGAAUGAC